rnacentral:rRNA from 1 species
UCUACGGGUGGCAGCAGUGGGGAAUAUUGCACAAUGGGCGCAAGCCUGAUGCAGCCAUGCCGCGUGUGUGAAGAAGGCCUUCGGGUUGUAAAGCACUUUCAACGGGGAGGAAGGCGGUGAGGUUAAUAACCUCAUCGAUUGACGUUACCCGCAGAAGAAGCACCGGCUAACUCCGUGCCAGCAGCCGCGGUAAUACGGAGGGUGCAAGCGUUAAUCGGAAUUACUGGGCGUAAAGCGUACGCAGGCGGUCUGUCAAGUCGGAUGUGAAAUCCCCGGGCUCAACCUGGGAACUGCAUUCGAAACUGGCAGGCUAGAGUCUUGUAGAGGGGGGUAGAAUUCCAGGUGUAGCGGUGAAAUGCGUAGAGAUCUGGAGGAAUACCGGUGGCGAAGGCGGCCCCCUGGACAAAGACUGACGCUCAGGUGCGAAAGCGUGGGGAGCAAACAGGAUUAGAUACCCCAGUAGUC